GAGUAAAGCUCUGGCUUUAGAAUCCAUCAAGGAGGUGUGAUUGUAAAAGAUAAACGGUACCGCCCUUAUUGCUAUUAUUAGUAACAGAGACAAUAGCGACGCCCUCAUCAACCUAUACUCCUGUGAUCUGAUCUUCAUGAUUCGAUGGAUGACAGGAUAGAGAGAGAGGGGGGGGAUAAUGGAGGAAGAGAGAACCAAGAAUGGGGGAGGGGUGAUGAAUGAUAGCUGUUUACGCACCCACACGGCUGUGGCUGGCUGGGUCGUGUAUGUGGGUGGGUGAAGGCGUUGGCUGUUGGAAAACCCCAGGUCUGCCACAGGGACCAUCUUGUCGGAGCCAAUAGAUUUGUGUCCCAAGUGGCACCCUAUCACUUAUUUAGUGCACUACUUUUGACCCAUAAGCCCAUAGAGAAUAGGAUGCCAUUUGGGAAAGACAAUAGAAACAUUAAGGCAGUUUAUACAAUUUUAAAAACAUUAUGAAACAUUCACAACACACUGGGUUCCCUCAGGCCCCUACUCCACUACUACCACAUAUCUACAGUACAAAAUCAAUGUGUGUAUAAUGCGUAUUGUGAGCGGACCGAGUAAUUGGGCACCACUCUAAAGCAGAAACGUGGAAUAAACUUGUCAGGAGUAGGUUUUCUUGAUUGAACACAGUUCUCUAUUGAGGGCAUUUGGUCAACACAAACACUCCAACAUAAUCAGUGAAAAUCUCCCAAGGAAAAAACACACAUCUUCUCCAGAUCAAACAGGAACAAAAUACAAUUAUCUUUAAACUACAACAAAAGUCACAGAUUGUCAACAUCUUAGUGGUUCUUCAUAGAUAGCUCCUCUGUCUCGGUGGCCAUCUUCCAGAGAUCGUUUUUUCCCCCUUCUCUCUGCUGGUUCCAUUCUCUCUCUUAUAGGGGAAGGAGAAUAUGUCAUUAGUACCGUCAGCUGUGCUUAAUUGCCUCUGGUUAAAUUCACACAGGACACCGGAUAAGACAGGAGAAAUACUCCAGACAUAACAGACUGACCCUAGACAGGAAGGGUCGGGAAACACUGUGGCCCCAUCUGACAAUACCCCUGAACAGGGCCAAACAGGCAGGCUAAUAACAUCACCCACUUUGCCAAAGCACAGCCCCCACACCACUAGAGGGAUAUCUUCAAUCUUCAUUUGAUUUGAUUUGAUUUGAUUUUCAACCACCAACUUACCAUCCUGAGACAAGGCCGAGUAUAGCCCACAAAGAUCUCCCCCACGACACGAACCCAAGGGGGGGCGCCAACCCCGACAGGAAGAUCACGUCAGUGACUCAACCCACUCAAGUGACGCACCCCUCCUAGGGACGGCAUGGAAGAGCACCAGUAAGCCAGUGACUCAGCCCCUGUAAUAGGGUUAGAUGCAGAGAAUCCCAGUGGAGAGAGGGGAACCGGCCAGGCAGAGACAGCAAGGGCGGUUCGUUGCUCCAGUGCCUUUCCGUUCACCUUCACACUCCUGAGCCAGACUACACUCAAUCAUAGGACCUAAUGAAGAGAUGAGUCUUCAAUAAAGACUUAAAGGUUGAGAAAGAAUCUGCGUCUCUCACAUGGAUAGGCAGACCAUUCCAUAAAAAUGGAGCUCUAUAGGAGAAAGCCAGUUGUUUGCUUAGAAAUUCUAAGGACAGUAAGCAGGCCUGUGUCUUGUGACCGUAGCGUAUGUGUAGGUAUGUACGGCAGGUGCAAAUUGGAAAGAUAGGUAGGAGCAAGUCCAUGUAAUGCUUUGUAGGUUAGCAGUAAAACCUUGAAAUCAGCCCUUGCCUUAAUAUGAUCCAGGUUAGCACAGGAGUAAUAUGAUCCAGGUUAGCACUGGAGUAAUAUGAUCCAGGCUAGCACUGGAGUAAUAUGAUCCAGGUUAGCACUGGAGUAAUAUGAGCCAGGCUAGCACUGGAGUAAUAUGAUCCAGGCUAGCACUGGAGUAAAAUGAUCCAGGUUAGCACUGGAGUAAUAUGAUCCAGGUUAGCACUGGAGUAAUAUGAUCCAGGUUAGCACUGGAGUAAUAUGAUCCAGGUUAGCACUGGAGUAAUAUGAUCCAGGUUAGCACUGGAGUAAUAUGAUCCAGGUUAGCACUGGAGUAAUAUGAUCCAGGUUAGCACUGGAGUAAUAUGAUCCAGG
ensembl:lncRNA